CCUACGGGGGGCAGCAGUGGGGAAUAUUGGACAAUGGGGGGAACCCUGAUCCAGCCAUGCCGCGUGUGUGAAGAAGGCCCUCGGGUUGUAAAGCACUUUCAGUGAGGAAGAACGCCUGGUGGUUAAUACCCAUCAGGAAAGACAUCACUCACAGAAGAAGCACCGGCUAACUCCGUGCCAGCAGCCGCGGUAAUACGGAGGGUGCGAGCGUUAAUCGGAAUUACUGGGCGUAAAGCGCGCGUAGGUGGCUUGAUAAGCCGGUUGUGAAAGCCCCGGGCUCAACCUGGGAACGGCAUCCGGAACUGUCAAGCUAGAGUGCAGGAUAGGAAGGUAGAAUUCCCGGUGUAGCGGUGAAAUGCGUAGAGAUCGGGAGGAAUACCAGUGGCGAAGGCGGCCUUCUGGACUGACACUGACACUGAGGUGCGAAAGCGUGGGUAGCAAACAGGAUUAGAUACCCCGGUAGUC
rnacentral:rRNA from 1 species